GAUCGGAAUUUAGGGUUAGGACUC
rnacentral:siRNA from 1 species